rnacentral:rRNA from 1 species
UGCGAGGAAGGUGGGGAUGACGUCAAAUCAGCACGGCCCUUACGUCCAGGGCUACACACGUGUUACAAUGGCCGGUACAGAGGGCAGCCACCCCGCGAGGGGGCGCGAAAUCCCGAAAGCCGGUCCCAGUUCGGAUCGGAGUCUGCAACCCGACUCCGUGAAGCUGGAUUCGCUAGUAAUCGCGCAUCAGCCACGGCGCGGUGAAUACGUUCCCGGGCCUU